rnacentral:rRNA from 1 species
CAGCAGCCGCGGUAAUGCGUAGGUGGCAAGCGUUGUCCGGAAUUAUUGGGCGUAAAGCGCGCGCAGGUGGUUUAAUAAGUCUGAUGUGAAAGCCCACGGCUCAACCGUGGAGGGUCAUCGGAAACUGUUAAACUUGAGUGCAGGAGAGAAAAGUGGAAUUCCUAGUGUAGCGGUGAAAUGCGUAGAGAUUAGGUGGAACACCAGUGGCGAAGGCGGCUUUUUGGCCUGCAACUGACACUGAGGCGCGAAAGCGUGGGGAGCAAACAGGAUUAGAUACCCCAGUAGUCCCUGUCUCUUAUAA